rnacentral:hammerhead_ribozyme from 1 species
AUCCAGCUGGCGAGUCCCAAAUAGGACGAAAUGCGCACCCUGGAU